rnacentral:rRNA from 1 species
AUUGAACGCUGGCGGCAGGCCUAACACAUGCAAGUCGAGCGGAUGAAGGGAGCUUGCUCCUGGAUUCAGCGGCGGACGGGUGAGUAAUGCCUAGGAAUCUGCCUGGUAGUGGGGGAUAACGUCCGGAAACGGGCGCUAAUACCGCAUACGUCCUGAGGGAGAAAGGGGGGGAUCUUCGGACCUCACGCUAUCAGAUGAGCCUAGGUCGGAUUAGCUAGUUGGUGAGGUAAAGGCCUACCAAGGCGACGAUCCGUAACUGGUCUGAGAGGAUGAUCAGUCACACUGGAACUGAGACACGGUCCAGACUCCUACGGGAGGCAGCAGUGGGGAAUAUUGGACAAUGGGCGAAAGCCUGAUCCAGCCAUGCCGCGUGUGUGAAGAAGGUCUUCGGAUUGUAAAGCACUUUAAGUUGGGAGGAAGGGCAGUAAGUUAAUACCUUGCUGUUUUGACGUUACCAACAGAAUAAGCACCGGCUAACUUCGUG